AACGAACGCUGGCGGCAUGCCUAACACAUGCAAGUCGAACGAGACCUUCGGGUCUAGUGGCGCACGGGUGCGUAACGCGUGGGAAUCUGCCCUUGGUUCGGAAUAACAGUUAGAAAUGACUGCUAAUACCGGAUGAUGACGAAAGUCCAAAGAUUUAUCGCCGAGGGAUGAGCCCGCGUAGGAUUAGCUAGUUGGUGAGGUAAAGGCUCACCAAGGCGACGAUCCUUAGCUGGUCUGAGAGGAUGAUCAGCCACACUGGGACUGAGACACGGCCCAGACUCCUACGGGAGGCAGCAGUGGGGAAUAUUGGACAAUGGGCGAAAGCCUGAUCCAGCAAUGCCGCGUGAGUGAUGAAGGCCUUAGGGUCGUAAAGCUCUUUUACCAGGGAUGAUAAUGACAGUACCUGGAGAAUAAGCUCCGGCUAACUCCGUGCCAGCAGCCGCGGUAAU
rnacentral:rRNA from 1 species